GUGUCAGCAGCCGCGGUAAUACGGAGGAUGCAAGCGUUAUCCGGAAUGAUUGGGCGUAAAGCGUCCGCAGGUGGCCAUGUAAGUCUGCUGUUAAAGAGCAAGGCUCAACCUUGUAAAGGCAGUGGAAACUACACGGCUAGAGUGCGUUCGGGGCAGAGGGAAUUCCUGGUGUAGCGGUGAAAUGCGUAGAGAUCAGGAAGAACACCGGUGGCGAAAGCGCUCUGCUAGGCCGCAACUGACACUGAGGGACGAAAGCUAGGGGAGCGAAUGGGAUUAGAUACCCCAGUAGUCC
rnacentral:rRNA from 1 species